AUUGAACGCUGGCGGCAGGCCUAACACAUGCAAGUCGAGCGGAGCGGCGGACGGGUGAGUAAUGCCUAGGAAUCUGCCUGGUAGUGGGGGAUAACGUACGGAAACGGGCGCUAAUACCGCAUACUUCAAAAUCGGCCUAGGUCGGAUCAGCGAGUUGGGGGGGUAAAGGCCUACCAAGGCGACGAUCCGGAACUGGUCUGAGAGGAUGAUCAGUCACACGGGAACUGAGACAAGGUCCAGACUCCUACGGGAGGCAGCAGUGGGGAAUAUUGGACAAUGGGCGAAAGCCUGAUCCAGCCAUGCCGCGUGUGUGAAGAAGGUCUUCGGAUUGUAAAGCACUUUAAGUUGGGAGGCGUUACCAACAGAAUAAGCACCGGCUAACUUCGUGCCAGCCGCCGCGGUAAUUC
rnacentral:rRNA from 1 species